rnacentral:tRNA from 1 species
AUGUAGCUCAGUGGUAGAGUACUUGCCUAGCAUGAGGCCCUGGGUUUGAACCCUAGCAU